UACGAAGGGGGCUAGCGUUGUUCGGAAUUACUGGGCGUAAAGCGCACGUAGGCGGUUUUUUAAGUCAGGGGUGAAAUCCCGGAGCUCAACUCCGGAACUGCCCUUGAAACUGGGAAGCUAGAAUCUUGGAGAGGCGAGUGGAAUUCCGAGUGUAGAGGUGAAAUUCGUAGAUAUUCGGAAGAACACCAGUGGCGAAGGCGACUCGCUGGACAAGUAUUGACGCUGAGGUGCGAAAGCGUGGGGAGCAAACAGG
rnacentral:rRNA from 1 species